rnacentral:lncRNA from 1 species
AAAGGACAGAAAUCUACACGUGUUUGCAAAUAAUUUCUUCCAGGUCCCUUCCUCUCGCAGUUAUCAACAUCGAAUGUCCAAAGUGGAAAAAGAAACGAAGCUUUGAUUACAGCACAAAUGCAUGAAGGCAAUAACAUUGAGGGUGCAACAAGCAUGCACGGAAGUCGAUGAACACAUGACCCAUCGUAUCUCACCAGGUUCUCAAAACAGGCUUUUAUAUGUUGUAUCAGUUGAACUAUCAAUAUUCGGAAGACAAGUAAUGUUUAUGUUGCUAUCUGAUCGCAUUUGUAGGUAGUAGGCUCCUGCAAACAUCGGCAUCGCCGACCAUUCGAGAGCAUCAGCGCCAUGCAACUUGAGCAGGAUCAUAUAAUAUCCGCAGUAGAAAAGGUC